rnacentral:rRNA from 1 species
AGAGUUUGAUCCUGGCUCAGAACGAACGCUGGCGGCGUGGAUAAGACAUGCAAGUCGAACGCUAAUUUCAGGGUAGCAAUAUUCUGGAGUUGGAGUGGCGCAAGGGUGCGUAACACGUGGGUAAUUUGCCGUGAAGUUGGGGAUAACUCGCUGAAAGGCGAGCUAAUACCGAAUGUGGCAACUUGGAGGCAUCUCUAGGUUGUCAAAGUUGGGGACCGCAAGGCCUGACGCUUCAUGAUAAGCCCGCGACCUAUCAGCUAGUUGGUGAGGUAACGGCCCACCAAGGCUAAGACGGGUAGCUGGUCUGAGAGGACGACCAGCCACACUGGAACUGAGACACGGUCCAGACACCUACGGGUGGCAGCAGUCGAGAAUUUUUCACAAUGGGCGCAAGCCUGAUGGAGCGACGCCGCGUGGGGGAUGAAUGGCUUCGGCCCGUAAACCCCUGUCAUUCGCGAUCAACCCUUGUUAUUUAAAAGAUGACAAGCUGAUAGUAGCGGAAGAGGAAGGGACGGCUAACUCUGUGCCAGCAGCCGCGGUAAUACAGAGGUCCCAAGCGUUGUUCGGAUUCACUGGGCGUAAAGGGUGCGUAGGUGGUGAGGUAAGUCGGAUGUGAAAUCUCGGAGCUCAACUCCGAAACGGCAUUGGAAACUACCUUGCUAGAGGAUUGGAGGGGGGACUGGAAUUCUCGGUGUAGCAGUGAAAUGCGUAGAUUCGAGAGGAACACCAGUGGCGAAGUCCCUGGACAACUCCGACACUGAGGCACGAAAGCUAGGGGAGCAAACAUAGAUACCCUGGUAGUCAAGGGCGAACCAGCAACGUUACUAGUGGCC